rnacentral:rRNA from 1 species
AUUGAACGCUGGCGGCAGGCCUAACACAUGCAAGUCGAGCGGAGCGGCGGACGAGUGAGUAAUGCCUAGGAAUCUGCCUGGCAGUGGGGGAUAACGUCCGGAAACGGGCGCUAAUCCCGCAUACUAUCAGAUGAGCCUAGGUCGGAUUAGCUAGUUUGUUGGGUAAAGGCCUACCAAGGCGACGAUCCGUAACUGGUCUGAGAGGAUGAUCAUUCACCGUGGAGCGGAGACACUGUCCAGACUCCUACGUGAGGCAGCAGUGGGGAAUAGUGGACAAUGGGCGAAAGCCUGAUCCAGCCAUGCCGAGUGUGUGAAGAAGGUCGUCGGUUGGUAAAGCACUUUAAGUUGGUAGGCGUUACCAACAGAAUAAGCACCGGCUAACUUCGUGCCAGCAGCCGCGGUAAUAC